rnacentral:rRNA from 1 species
AUUGAACGCUGGCGGCAGGCUUAACACAUGCAAGUCGAGCGGGGGAAGGUAGCUUGCUACCGGACCUAGCGGCGGACGGGUGAGUAAUGCUUAGGAAUCUGCCUAUUAGUGGGGGACAACAUCUCGAAAGGGAUGCUAAUACCGCAUACGUCCUGCGGGAGAAAGCAGGGGAUCUUCGGACCUUGCGCUAAUAGAUGAGCCUAAGUCGGAUUAGCUAGCUGGUGGGGUAAAGGCCUACCAAGGCGACGAUCUGUAGCGGGUCUGAGAGGAUGAUCCGCCACACUGGGACUGAGACACGGCCCAGACUCCUACGGGAGGCAGCAGGGGGGAAUAUUGGACAAUGGGGGGAACCCUGAUCCAGCCAUGCCGCGUGUGUGAAGAAGGCCUUAUGGUUGUAAAGCACUUUAAGCGAGGAGGAGGCUACUCUAGUUAAUACCUAGGGAUAGUGGACGUUACUCGCAGAAUAAGCACCGGCUAACUCUGUGCCAGCCGCCGCAGUAA